CUCUUAGGGCGGGUAAUGAGAAGGUAUAAAAUAUUUGAUCUUGCUUGAUAUAUGUUGAUUUCUUUCUUUUUAUAAUUUCUUUUAGUCUUUGCUUUCCUUUUCUAAAAAGUAAAUACAUUUUAUGGCUUAAACUAAAUCCCUGGAGAAUACUGUUAUUUUGUAUACGGCUUUCAUUGUACUGACAGAAUGCUUUGUGUCUUGUCAUCAUUGUUUUAUCUUUCGUAGGAGAUAUGAUUUUAAUUAGGACAUCUAAUACUUUUAGACAUAUCAUAAACUUGAUAUAAGAAAAAUUUUGAUAUUGCCUUGGGGCUUUUGGCAACAUGGUCUUGCAAAAAGAUGAUUGAAGACCACAUUGUUUUCGAUGAGGUACAUUGGUUUAAG
rnacentral:misc_RNA from 1 species